CCUCGAGUGGCGAACGGGUGAGUAACACGUGGGUGAUCUGCCCUGCACUUCGGGAUAAGCCUGGGAAACUGGGUCUAAUACCGGAUAGGAGCCAUUUUUAGUGUGAUGGUUGGAAAGUUUUUUCGGUGUAGGAUGAGCUCGCGGCCUAUCAGCUUGUUGGUGGGGUAAUGGCCUACCAAGGCGGCGACGGGUAGCCGGCCUGAGAGGGUGGACGGCCACAUUGGGACUGAGAUACGGCCCAG
rnacentral:rRNA from 1 species